rnacentral:rRNA from 1 species
AACGCGAAGAACCUUACCUGGGCUUGAACCGCACAGGACCAUCUUUGGAAACAGAGACUUCCCGCAAGGGACCUGUGUAGAGGUGCUGCAUGGCUGUCGUCAGCUCGUGCCGUGAGGUGUUGGGUUAAGUCCCGCAACGAGCGCAACCCUUACUCGUAGUUGCUACCUGCAAAGGAGAACUCUACGAGGACUGCUCCGGAUAACGGAGAGGAAGGUGGGGAUGACGUCAAGUCAGCACGGCCUUUAUGUCCAGGGCUACACACGUGUUACAAUGCAUGGUACAGACUGUUGCGAACCCGCGAGGGGGAGCUAAUCGGACAAAGCCAUGCUCAGUUCGGAUUGCAGUCUGCAACUCGGCUGCAUGAAGCUGGAAUCGCUAGUAAUGGCGUAUCAGAUCGACGCCGUGAAUACGUUCCCGGGCUUGUACACACCGAGUAUA